rnacentral:rRNA from 1 species
GACGAACGCUGGCGGCGUGCUUAACACAUGCAAGUCGAACGAUGAAGCCUAGCUUGCUAGGUGGAUUAGUGGCGAACGGGUGAGUAAUACGUGAGUAACCUACCUUUAACUCUGGGAUAAGCCCGGGAAACUGGGUCUAAUACCGGAUACGACCAAUCUCCGCAUGGGGUGUUGGUGGAAAGCGUUAUGUAGUGGUUAUAGAUGGGCUCACGGCCUAUCAGCUUGUUGGUGAGGUAACGGCUCACCAAGGCGACGACGGGUAGCCGGCCUGAGAGGGUGACCGGCCACACUGGGACUGAGACACGGCCCAGACUCCUACGGGAGGCAGCAGUGGGGAAUAUUGCACAAUGGGCGCAAGCCUGAUGCAGCGACGCCGCGUGAGGGAUGACGGCCUUCUGGUUGUAAACCUCUGUUAGCAGGGAAGAAGAGAGAUUGACGGGACCUGCAGAGAAAGCGCCGGCUAACUACGUGCCAGCAUGCUCGGUAAUACGUAGGGCGCGAGCGUUGUCCGGAAUUAUUGGGCGUAAAGAGCUUGUAGGCUGUUUGUGGCGUCUGCUGGGAAAGGCCGGGGCUUAACUCCGUGUUUUGCACUGGGUACGGGCAGACUAGAUUGUGUGGGGGGAGACUGGAAUUCCUGGUGUGGCGGGGAAUGCCAUAUUUCUGGAAAACUCCUGUUUGCGAAGGCUGUUCUCUGGGUGUGUGUGACUGUUAGAAGCGAAUCAUGUGGAGUAACUGGAUUAUAUUGCCUGGUGUGUGAUGUGGGAUUCUGUUGUGGAGUGCUGGGUGCUUGAUGCCGGCGAGGUGCUGUGGUGCCGUGGUGAUGUGUUGUUCCUUGUGUGUGGUGUAUUAAGUGGUUGUGUUC